rnacentral:tRNA from 1 species
UAAAACCUAUAGAAUCAAUCUACAUCUCCCGAUUGCAAAUCAGAUAUUUUACUUAAACUAAGGCCUC